UCGAGCUCAGUAUGAGUUCGAAACAAGACUUGAGCAGAAAUACAAAAUUUAAAUUAGUAGCACUACGGAUUUUCAGUUACACACACUGUCAGAAAGCUCCAUUGGAAUUAACGUUCCAAUAGAACUUAUCAACCAGAGCACAUCAAAUUCACAUAAAAACCCAGCAUAAAAGUCGUUCAUAUGACAGAAUACAGUUAACAAAUAUUACAGUCAAAACCUACAGAUAGAUGCAGAUGAAAUGCAGUGAGAUAAAAACCCACCCACCCUACC
rnacentral:lncRNA from 1 species